rnacentral:rRNA from 1 species
AUGGACCAAUCCAUCCCUUUUUCCCGUUGAUAUACAUCGGACUCGGAUGACGAUGGUCCCGAUGAAGAAGUUGAUGAGGAGGGGUUCACGCCGAAGGAGGCCGAAGCAUUUAAGAAGGUAUUCCAGCGGGAUCACAAGACACCAUUGUUCAAGGAUCUUAGUCUCGCAGAUGAAGGCGUUGUAGAUGGUGGCAACUGUAUAUCUCUUGAGGUAGGCCAAGUUCUCACCGUGAUUUGGAAGACGGCAAGAACGGGAUGUAUCCCGGUUGUGAGUUUGAAUCCUUCUUGGAAUUGA